rnacentral:lncRNA from 1 species
UUAAACAAAGUCUUUGAUCCAUUCAAAUAUUCAAAAUCGAUAUUAAUACUUUAAAAAAAUAUUAAAAUUAAAAUUGUACUUUACAAAUUUAACUAAAAGCACUAAAAUGAAUCUCAUAAUAAUGUGAUCUAUGAAAACCUGGAAAAAAUACAAACAAUAUAAAUAAAAAAAUGAAAUAAUUAAAAUAUUUAGUAUAUAAUAAAAAUGUCAAAUAGUUAAACUUAGGAUGCACUUUAAGGAACAAAUUGAUCAUCUAGCUCUGGAUCAUACUCAUGAUCGAAUUGAGUUGUGCUAUUGGAAGCAUUUUUGUCACGUUCUAUUGAGAUAAGUUUUCCUUUUAUAACCUUCAUCUCAUCCUCCAAGUGUGCAUACUUCUGACUCCACAUACUAAGUUCAGCACGAAGCAUUUGAUUUUCAAUCACAUGCUCAGAUUGUAAUUUUCUGGCCCAAUCUACUGCCCAUAUUUAUUACUCUAUGCAGCCCUUAUUUAAUUUAUACACCCCCAUGUAACUAUUUGUAAUUUUUUGGCCCAAUCUUCUGCCCAUAUCUUUUACUCUCAACAACCUCUAUUUAAUUUCUACACCCUAUAAUUUUCUAGCCCAAUCUGCUGCCCAGAUAUUUUACUCUUUGGAGCCCUUAUUUAAUUUAUACACCCAUCUAACUAUUUGUAAUUUUAAGGCCCAAUCUACUGCCCAUAUUUUUUACUCUCAACAACCUCUAUUUAAGUUAGGUAGUAUGAAUUUACGUGUUGUUGUGAUGAGGGGCGUGCAUUUUGUAGGGAUGAGUAAUGCCAUUAAGGAAAGAAGAGGUGGCAAGUGAGGUGUGAUGACAUGCCACAUAAAAGAGGAUUUACCAAUGUGUCAUUUAUAGGCACUGAUAUGGACUUCACAAGCGGUGGAGUUUAAAAGCAUGUGUGAAGAUAUCAGCACCAAAUUACUCUGCUCUAUCUGUCUUAGUCAAUUUUUUUCUAAAAAUUAGUACAGGUAUUACCAUAACAAGUUGCACAAGGUCCAAAAUGUGUUUUCCAAACAAAUUAGUCGUUGAUAACAAUUUUAAAACUUUACCUGUGAACUUGUAAAGCAGAAGGUGGAGCUCAACAAAUGAAGGGACCGCAAAUGGAGAGGACCACAAGAAGGUGGAGCUCAAAAAAUGAAGGAUCGCAAAUGGAGGGGACCGCAAAUGGAGAACAAGAAGACAAGAUCUGAAAUGAAAGUUAAGAAAAAAAACAUUGAGGUGACCACAAAUGGAGAAGAGGCAGAAAAGGAAGACGAGAACAGAAAACAACCGGCGGUGGAGCAGCGGUGGAGUUGUGGUGGACCAGCGACGGUGGAGGGUGGAGGGCAGCUGGAGGCAGAGAAUUAGGUUUUCUGGUUGGGGAGAUUGGGUAAAACGUGGGUGGGCAAGUGUGGGGCAAG